rnacentral:snRNA from 1 species
AUCUUUGCGCUUGGGGCAAUGACGCAGCGAGUGAGGUACUAACCGAGGCGCGUAUAUGGUUGAAAACUAUUUCCAAACCCCCUCUUUGGCGUGGGUUCUGCCUUGGCCAUUGAGAAUUUUUGAAAGGGCUUCCUUCUGGGUAAAGCC